rnacentral:rRNA from 1 species
CUAAUACAUGCAAGUCGAGCGGCAGCGUGGGUAGUAGCAAUACUAUCUGACGGCGAGCGGCGGACGGGUGAGGAACACGUAGGAACUUGCCCUUUAGAGGGGGAUAACCAAGGGAAACUUUGGCUAAUACCGCAUAUACUCGGAAGAGGAAAGCUGCCCGCGAGGGUGGCGCUAGAGGAGAGGCCUGCGUCCGAUUAGCUAGCUGGAGAGGUAAGAGCUCACCAAGGCGAUGAUCGGUAACUGGUCUGAGAGGACGACCAGUCACACUGGGACUGAGACACGGCCCAGACUCCUACGGGAGGCAGCAGUGGGGAAUCUUGGACAAUGGGGGCAACCCUGAUCCAGCGAUGCCGCGUGGGUGAAGAAGGCCUUCGGGUUGUAAAGCCCUUUAGGUUGGGAAGAAGUGCGUAGGUGAAUAACCUAUUGCUUUGACGGUACCGACAGAAUAAGCACCGGCAAACUCUGUGCCAGCAGCCGCGGUAA